ACCACGACGGCUCAGUUGGUAGAGCAUCUUCACGGUAUACGGAGGGUCGCCGGUUCGAUUCCGGCUCGUGGCA
rnacentral:tRNA from 1 species